GACGAACGCUGGCGGCGUGCUUAACACAUGCAAGUCGAACGGAAAGGCCCUGCUUUUGUGGGGUGCUCGAGUGGCGAACGGGUGAGUAACACGUGAGUAACCUGCCCUUGACUUUGGGAUAACUUCAGGAAACUGGGGCUAAUACCGGAUAGGAGCUCCUGCUGCAUGGUGGGGGUUGGAAAGUUUCGGCGGUUGGGGAUGGACUCGCGGCUUAUCAGCUUGUUGGUGGGGUAGCGGCUUACCAAGGCUUUGACGGGUAGCCGGCCUGAGAGGGUGACCGGCCACAGUGGGACUGAGAUACGGCCCAGACUCCUACGGGAGGCAGCAGUGGGGAAUAUUGCACAAUGGGCGGAAGCCUGAUGCAGCAACGCCGCGUGCGGGAUGACGGCCUUCGGGUUGUAAACCGCUUUCGCCUGUGACGAAGCGUGAGUGACGGUAAUGGGUAAAGAAGCACCGGCUAACUACGUG
rnacentral:rRNA from 1 species